GAGGUAUGAGGAAAACACCUGAACAGUCUGAUUGUUACUAAGAAAAGAACACCUAAACUUGAAC